GGGGAAUUGGCUCAGUUGGUAGAGCAUCUGCCUUGCACGCAGAGGGUCAGGAGUUCGAGUCUCCUAUUCUCCACCA
rnacentral:tRNA from 1 species